rnacentral:rRNA from 1 species
UACAGAGGAGGCAAGCGUUAUUCGGAAUUAUUGGGCGUAAAGGGCGCGUAGGCGGCUUUGCAAGUGGCGGGUGAAAUCCCUCGGCUUAACCGAGGAACUGCCUGUCAAACUGCAUGGCUUGAGACCAGGAGAGGUGAGUGGAAUUCCCAGUGUAGCGGUGAAAUGCGUAGAUAUUGGGAGGAACACCAGUGGCGAAGGCGGCUCACUGGACUGGUACUGACGCUGAUGCGCGAAAGCGUGGGGAGCAAACAGG